rnacentral:rRNA from 1 species
GUGCCAGCAGCCGCGGUAAUACGGAGGGUGCAAGCGUUAUCCGGAAUCACUGGGUUUAAAGGGUGCGUAGGCGGUUUGAUAAGUCAGAGGUGAAAGCUAGCAGCUUAACUGUUAAAUUGCCUUUGAUACUGUCAGACUUGAAUCAAGUUGAGGUAGGCGGAAUGUGACAUGUAGCGGUGAAAUGCAUAGAUAUGUCAUAGAACACCAAUUGCGUAGGCAGCUUGCUGGGCUUGAAUUGACGCUGAGGCACGAAAGCGUGGGGAUCAAACAGGAUUAGAAACCCCUGUAGUCC